AUAAUACUCCCUCCGUCCAGAAUUACUUAUCAUCAAAAUGGAUGUGUCUAGAACUAAAAUACAUCUAGAUACAUCCAUUUCAAUGACAAGUAUUUUCAGACAGAGGGAGUAGUAG
rnacentral:pre_miRNA from 1 species